rnacentral:misc_RNA from 1 species
CCGAGCCAACAUAAGAAGUAAUCACAAUAAAUAACAGAUCAGUUGUUGCACAAAAUAGAUGUGCAUAAUCACAUUUUUGAACAUGGUGACAGUCUUGCAAUUUGCUGUAUCAAUUUGACAAACUUGUGUCUUAGUAGAGUAAUUUUCAAGUACCCCACUUGCCACUUGUCUCAGCUGUGCAUUCAUGCCCUGAGUUCUACUAAACUAGGAAACAAAGGGGAGAAACUUGCAUACUAGAUUAAAAAAGGGUGAGACAACAGUAUCGUAAAGAAAACAAAGAAAAUCACAACAAAUAAAUUCAGAAUAAUUUCAAUGGGAUGACAAUCGUCCACCAAAUCAAGGAAGUAGAAACAUUCACAAGAAAAAGAUUCGCAGUUUAGCCCAGUACAAACAAUGGUCUCUCAUUGCUCAAAAAUACUUUGGUCCUGAAUUUUAUAAAAUCAGCAGUUUAGAGUUUUUCCAGUUUCCAGUUUCUUAUGUUCUUUAGAGACCUACUUUAGCCAAUAAAGGACCU